CUUGCAGGGCGAGGCCAAAUGGCAUAGAUCUUGGUACUAUGAAUUAUCAGCAAUGAUACUAUGAAUUAUUUUAGUCUGCAUUCUUCCCGAGUAUGUGAAAAUCAAGUCUGCUACCAUGAAGUCUUCUUCUGCUUAGUGUUUUGAGAUGCAGGAGAAAGAAUGUUGGAAGUGAAUGAAGCCUCCAGCAAUCAGCGGGGAGCCUUUGUACGAUCAUGAAACUAAUACGAAGAUGGCCUGACUGCUGAAGAAUAUGAAGCAGGAAUUACUGUAUUGCUUAGGUGCUUUUCUCUUCCCCAACAGAUUCCAACUUUGGCCUUCUAUUCUUACAUUCCUGUAUGAAUUCGGAACUAAUAUGGUACCUACAUUUAGGUUGAUAAAUUUAUUCUUGA